rnacentral:tRNA from 1 species
GUCAGGAUAGCUCAGUCGGCAGAGCAGAGGACUGAAAAUU